GAAUACAACGAUCAACACGGAGGAGGGCAACGCGUACGGCUG
rnacentral:sRNA from 1 species